GAGGCAUAAACAAAACCACUCUCUCUCUCUCUCUUCUCUCCCCUCAUUCAUACGCCCCUCACCUCUCCCUCUCAUCUCUCUCUCUCUUUCUUCCUUAAUCCUCCAUUGUUAACCAUUCUCAAAGCUUCAAAUAUCAUAUCUCCACCAAAGAUCUUCACUAAUUCAAAUCAAAACUUCAUUUCCUCUGAAUCAAGAGCAAGAUUGAUGGAGUUUCAAGCUUGAAGUUAGAGUGAUGAAUUUUUAUUUCUUUCAAAGUCUUUGAAUGCUAUGACAUCUGAAGAUACGAGCAGAGGACGGAAGUAAGAUCACCCAAGUACUACGAGAGUAAACUAAGUUCACCAGGAUAAGCAAGGAGGAGGGAGAUCAGUCUGGUGCUGGCGGGGACUUAUUUUGGAUGACGUUAUUUCUUUUACCGUAUUUCUACUUCAUACGGUAGGCUUUUGAGGUUGGAUGUUUAUAUUUUGUACUUAAUCAGGAAAUACACUCUCAGCUAUAUGUCUUCAUACAAAUAGUCUGAUCACGUUUUGCUGCGAGACUCUGUAACUUAUAAACCUUUGUAAAUAUUUAACUAUAUCCGCUUUGUAAAUUUUGUCGAAAAUCCCUGUACUUUUGAACUUAUGAAGCCGAUAAUAUUUGUGUCUUUGAGAUGAUGUUAUUG